CAGCAGCCGCGGUAAUACCGGCGGCCCGAGUGGCGGUCACUAUUAUUGGGCUUAAAGCGUCCGUAGCCGGGUUGGGAAGUCCUCCGGGAAAUCUGGCCGCUUAACGGUCAGAAUUCCGGGAGAUACUCCCAGCCUAGGGAGCGGGAGAGGCCGAGGGUAUUCCCGGAGUAGGGGGGAAAUCCUAUAAUCCCGGGAGGACCACCUGUGGCGAAGGCGCUCGGCUGGAACGCGUCCGACGGUGAGGGACGAAGGCCAGGGGAGCAAACCGGAUUAGAUACCCGGGUAGUCCUGGCUGUAAACGAUGCGGACUUUGUGUCGGACAAGCUAUGAGCUUGUCCGGUGCCGGAGGGAAACCGUUAAGUCCGCCGCCUGGGGAGUACGGCCGCAAGGCUGAAACUUAAAGGAAUUGGCGGG
rnacentral:rRNA from 1 species